rnacentral:rRNA from 1 species
CCUAACAUAUGCAAGUCGAACGGUAACAGGAAGAAGCUUGCUUCUUUGCUGACGAGUGGCGGACGGGUGAGUAAUGUCUGGGAAACUGCCCGAUGGAGGGGGAUAACUACUGGAAACGGUAGCUAAUACCGCAUAACGUCGCAAAACCAAAGAGGGGGACCUUCGGGCCUCUUGCCAUCGGAUGUGCCCAGAUGGGAUUAGCUAGUAGGUGGGGUAACGGCUCGCCUAGGCGACGAUCCCUAGCUGGUCUGAGAGGAUGACCAGCCACACUGGAACUGAGACACGGUCCAGACUCCUACGGGAGGCAGCAGUGGGGAAUAUUGCACAAUGGGCGCAAGCCUGAUGCAGCCAUGCCGCGUGUAUGAAGAAGGCCUUCGGGUUGUAAAGACUU